rnacentral:rRNA from 1 species
UACGUAGGUGGCAAGCGUUAUCCGGAUUUACUGGGUGUAACGGGCGUGUAGGCGGGACUGCAAGUCAGAUGUGAAAACCACGGGCUCAACCUGUGGCCUGCAUUUGAAACUGUAGUUCUUGAGUACUGGAGAGGCAGACGGAAUUCCUAGUGUAGCGGUGAAAUGCGUAGAUAUUAGGAGGAACACCAGUGGCGAAGGCGGUCUGCUGGACAGCAACUGACGCUGAGGCGCGAAAGCGUGGGGAGCAAACAGG